ACAAUGGCGGCAGCUACACAUGCAGUCGAGCGGUAGCACAGAGAGCUUGCUCUCGGGUGACGAGCGGCGGACGGGUGAGUAAUGUCUGGGAAACUGCCUGAUGGAGGGGGAUAACUACUGGAAACGGUAGCUAAUACCGCAUAAUGUCGCAAGACCAAAGUGGGGGACCUUCGGGCCUCAUGCCAUCAGAUGUGCCCAGAUGGGAUUAGCUAGUAGGUGGGGUAACGGCUCACCUAGGCGACGAUCCCUAGCUGGUCUGAGAGGAUGACCAGCCACACUGGAACUGAGACACGGUCCAGACUCCUACGGGAGGCAGCAGUGGGGAAUAUUGCACAAUGGGCGCAAGCCUGAUGCAGCCAUGCCGCGUGUGUGAAGAAGGCCUUCGGGUUGUAAAGCACUUUCAGCGGGGAGGAAGGCGGUGAGGUUAAUAACCUUAUCGAUUGACGUUACCCGCAGAAGAAGCACCGGCUAACUCCGUGCCAGCAGCCGCGGUAAUACGGAGGGUGCAAGCGUUAAUCGGAAUUACUGGGCGUAAAGCGCACGCAGGCGGUCUGUCAAGUCGGAUGUGAAAUCCCCGGGCUCAACCUGGGAACUGCAUUCGAAACUGGCAGGCUAGAGUCUUGUAGAGGGGGGUAGAAUUCCAGGUGUAGCGGUGAAAUGCGUAGAGAUCUGGAGGAAUACCGGUGGCGAAGGCGGCCCCCUGGACAAAGACUGACGCUCAGGUGCGAAAGCGUGGGGAGCAAACAGGAUUAGAUACCCUGGUAGUCCACGCCGUAAACGAUGUCGAUUUGGAGGUUGUGCCCUUGAGGCGUGGCUUCCGGAGCUAACGCGUUAAAUCGACCGCCUGGGGAGUACGGCCGCAAGGUUAAAACUCAAAUGAAUUGACGGGGGCCCGCACAAGCGGUGGAGCAUGUGGUUUAAUUCGAUGCAACGCGAAGAACCUUACCUGGUCUUGACAUCCACAGAACUUUCCAGAGAUGGAUUGGUGCCUUCGGGAACUGUGAGACAGGUGCUGCAUGGCUGUCGUCAGCUCGUGUUGUGAAAUGUUGGGUUAAGUCCCGCAACGAGCGCAACCCUUAUCCUUUGUUGCCAGCGGUCCGGCCGGGAACUCAAAGGAGACUGCCAGUGAUAAACUGGAGGAAGGUGGGGAUGACGUCAAGUCAUCAUGGCCCUUACGACCAGGGCUACACACGUGCUACAAUGGCAUAUACAAAGAGAAGCGACCUCGCGAGAGCAAGCGGACCUCAUAAAGUAUGUCGUAGUCCGGAUUGGAGUCUGCAACUCGACUCCAUGAAGUCGGAAUCGCUAGUAAUCGUAGAUCAGAAUGCUACGGUGAAUACGUUCCCGGGCCUUGUACACACCGCCCGUCACACCAUGGGAGUGGGUUGCAAAAGAAGUAGGUAGCUUAACCUUCGGGAGGGCGCUUACCACUUUGGUUUCCGG
rnacentral:rRNA from 1 species